GACGAACGCUGGCGGCGUGCUUAACACAUGCAAGUCGAACGGAAAGGCCCUGCUUUUGUGGGGUGCUCGAGUGGCGAACGGGUGAGUAACACGUGAGUAACCUGCCCUUGACUUUGGGAUAACUUCAGGAAACUGGGGCUAAUACCGGAUAGGAGCUCCUGCUGCAUGGUGGGGGUUGGAAAGUUUCGGCGGUUGGGGAUGGACUCGCGGCUUAUCAGCUUGUUGGUGGGGUAGUGGCUUACCAAGGCUUUGACGGGUAGCCGGCCUGAGAGGGUGACCGGCCACAAUGGGACUGAGGUACGGCCCAGACUCCUACGGGAGGCAGAAGUGGGGAAUAUUGCACAAUGGGCGGGAGCCUGAUGCAGCGGCGCCGCGUGCGGGAUGACGGCCUUCGGGUUGUAAACCGCUUUCGCCUGUGACGAAGCGUGAGUGACGGUAAUGGGUAAAGAAGCACCGGCUAACUACGUG
rnacentral:rRNA from 1 species